rnacentral:rRNA from 1 species
AUUGAACGCUGGCGGCAUGCUUUACACAUGCAAGUCGAACGGCAGCACGGGCUUCGGCCUGGUGGCGAGUGGCGAACGGGUGAGUAAUGCAUCGGAACGUACCGUGUAAUGGGGGAUAACGUAGCGAAAGUUACGCUAAUACCGCAUACGCCCUGAGGGGGAAAGCGGGGGAUCGUAAGACCUCGCGUUAUACGAGCGGCCGAUGUCGGAUUAGCUAGUUGGUGGGGUAAAGGCCUACCAAGGCGACGAUCCGUAGCGGGUCUGAGAGGAUGAUCCGCCACACUGGGACUGAGACACGGCCCAGACUCCUACGGGAGGCAGCAGUGGGGAAUUUUGGACAAUGGGCGCAAGCCUGAUCCAGCCAUGCCGCGUGAGUGAAGAAGGCCUUCGGUUGUAAAGCUCUUUCAGACGGAAGAAAUCGACGCGCUCUAACAUAGCGCGUGGAUGACGGUACCGUAAGAAGAAGCACCGGCUAACUACGUAGCCAGCAGCCGCGG